rnacentral:lncRNA from 1 species
CUCUCCUUUAACCUUCACAGGCGGUGACAGUAGCAGGGUCUCAGCUGGGAGGGUCCCCUCUGGCUCUUGAUCUCCAUCCUCUCCUUUAACCUCCACAGGUGACGACAGUAGCAGGGUCUCAGCUGGGAGGGUCCCCUCUGGCUCUGGACCUCCAUCCUCUCUUUUAGCCUCCACAGGCGGCUCCUCUCCACUUGGCUUUUCCGGGCAGAGCUCGUCCUUGGCCUCAAAGCUUUCCUUAACAAAUAGCUCCAUCUUCUGCCUUGUUUCUCUGUCCCC